UUUGGUGGUCAUAGCGAGAGCAAAACACCCGGCUCCAUUCCGAACCCGGCCGUUAAGUGCCUUUGCGCCGAUGGUACUGCGUCUUAAGACGUGGGAGAGUAGGUCACCGCCAAAC
rnacentral:rRNA from 1 species